rnacentral:lncRNA from 1 species
CACAUUUUGGCUACUGCUGCAUGAGUCUCCCCUGAUAACGCGGUCGCUAUAAAAGUGAUGGAAGUACAAGAACAAGCAACUAAAUGAACAGUAUAGGCCCGAGAAAGUAUAACGAUGUCUCCCCAUACUAACAGUAUAGGCCCGAGAAAGUAUAACGAUGUCUCCCCAUACUAACUCCGCUGAGAUACCAGCUCUCAUAGGGACAGCCAAAAAAUGAGUUAAAGAGGAGAUCGGAGUGUUAUAGAGGGACCAGAAAGUGCAAA